rnacentral:rRNA from 1 species
UACAGAGGUCCCAAGCGUUGUUCGGAUUUACUGGGCGUAAAGGGCGCGUAGGCGGCCAGCACAAGUCAGUUGUGAAAUCUCCGAGCUUAACUCGGAAAGGUCAACUGAUACUGUGCGGCUAGAGUGCGGAAGGGGCAACUGGAAUUCUUGGUGUAGCGGUGAAAUGCGUAGAUAUCAAGAGGAACACCUGCGGCGAAGGCGGGUUGCUGGGCCGACACUGACGCUGAUGCGCGAAAGCUAGGGGAGCGAACGGG